UACGUAGGGUGCGAGCGUUGUCCGGAAUUACUGGGCGUAAAGGGCGCGCAGGCGGCAGACCAAGUCAGAUGUGAAAUAGCUCGGCUUAACCGGGCGGGGUCAUUUGAAACUGGUCAGCUAGAGUACAGCAGAGGUUAGCGGAAUUCCCGGUGUAGUGGUGAAAUGCGUAGAGAUCGGGAGGAACACCAGAGGCGAAGGCGGCUAACUGGGCAUGUACUGACGCUGAGGCGGCGAAGGCUAAGGGAGCAAACGGG
rnacentral:rRNA from 1 species